AGCGGCAAAGCUCAAAUUUGAAAUCUGGCUCUUUCAGAGUCCGAGUUGUAAUUUGAAGAAGGUAUCUUUGGGUCUGGCUCUUGUCUAUGUUUCUUGGAACAGAACGUCACAGAGGGUGAGAAUCCCGUGCGAUGAGAUGAUCCAGGCCUAUGUAAAGUUCCUUCGAAGAGUCGAGUUGUUUGGGAAUGCAGCUCUAAGUGGGUGGUAAAUUCCAUCUAAAGCUAAAUAUUGGCGAGAGACCGAUAGCGAACAAGUACAGUGAUGGAAAGAUGAAAAGAACUUUGAAAAGAGAGUGAAAAAGUACGUGAAAUUGUUGAAAGGGAAGGGCUUGAGAUCAGACUUGGUAUUUUGUAUGUUACUUCUUCGGGGGUGGCCUCUACAGUUUAUCGGGCCAGCAUCAGUUUGGGCGGUAGGAGAAUUGCGUUGGAAUGUGGCACGGCUUCGGUUGUGUGUUAUAGCCUUCGUCGAUACUGCCAGCCUAGACUGAGGACUGCGGUUUAUACCUAGGAUGUUGGCAUAAUGAUCUUAAGUCGCCCGUCU
rnacentral:rRNA from 1 species